GACGAACGCUGGCGGCGUGCUUAACACAUGCAAGUCGAACGGAGUGGCGAACGGGUGAGUAACACGUGGGUGACCUGCCCUGCACUUCGGGAUAAGCCUGGGGAACUGGGUUUAAUACCGGAUAGUGUGGGAUGGGCUCGCGGCCUAUGAGCUUGUUGGUGGGGUAAUGGCCUACCAAGGGGGCGACGGGUAGCCCACCUGAGAGGGUGGACGGCCACAUUGGGACUGCGACACGGCCCAGACGCCAACGUGGGGCAGCAGUGGGGAAUAUUGCACAGUGGGCGGAAGCCUGAUGCAGCGGCGCCGGGUGGGGGAUGACGGCCUGCGGGUUGUAAACUCCUUUCACCAUCGACGCGGUAGAUGGAGAAGAAGCACCGGCUAACUACGUGCCAGCAGCCGCGGUAAUUC
rnacentral:rRNA from 1 species